CCGAGUCUUAACUGGGCGUUAAGUUGCAGGGUAUAGACCCGAAACCCGGUGAUCUAGCCAUGGGCAGGUUGAAGGUUGGGUAACACUAACUGGAGGACCGAACCGACUAAUGUUGAAAAAUUAGCGGAUGACUUGUGGCUGGGGGUGAAAGGCCAAUCAAACCGGGAGAUAGCUGGUUCUCCCCGAAAGCUAUUUAGGUAGCGCCUCGUGAAUUCAUCUUCGGGGGUAGAGCACUGUUUCGGCUAGGGGGUCAUCCCGACUUACCAACCCGAUGCAAACUACGAAUACCGAAGAAUGUUAUCACGGGAGACACACGGCGGGUGCUAACGUCCGUCGUGAAGAGGGAAACAACCCAGACCGCCAGCUAAGGUCCCAAAGUCAUGGUUAAGUGGGAAACGAUGUGGGAAGGCCCAGACAGCCAGGAUGUUGGCUUAGAAGCAGCCAUCAUUUAAAGAAAGCGUAAUAGCUCACUGGUCGAGUCGGCCUGCGCGGAAGAUGUAACGGGGCUAAACCAUGCACCGAAGCUGCGGCAGCGACACUAUGUGUUGUUGGGUAGGGGAGCGUUCUGUAAGCCGUUGAAGGUGGCCUGUGAGGGUUGCUGGAGGUAUCAGAAGUGCGAAUGCUGACAUAAGUAACGAUAAUGCGGGUGAAAAACCCGCACGCCGGAAGACCAAGGGUUCCUGUCCAACGUUAAUCGGGGCAGGGUGAGUCGACCCCUAAGGCGAGGCCGAAAGGCGUAGUCGAUGGGAAACAGGUUAAUAUUCCUGUACUCGGUGUUACUGCGAAGGGGGGACGGAGAAGGCUAUGUUGGCCGGGCGACGGUUGUCCCGGUUUAAGCAUGUAGGCGGAUG
rnacentral:rRNA from 1 species